rnacentral:lncRNA from 1 species
AGAACUAUUGAGCAUAGAUAAUUUUCCCCCCUCAGGCCAGCUUUUUCUUUUUUUUAAAUUUUGUUAAUAAAAGGGAGGAGAUGUAGUCUCCCCUGCCCCAGCCUGAAACCUGCUUGCUCGGGGUGGAGCUUCCUGCUCAUUCGUUCUGCCACGCCCACUGCUGGAACCUGAGGAGCCACACACGUGCACCUUUCUACUGGACCCGAGAUUAUUCGGCGGGAAUCGAGUCCCCUCCCACUUCCUUCAUAACUAGUGUCCCAACAAUAAAAUUUGAGCUUUGAUCAGAAUGAAUUUGUCUUAGCUCCGUUUCUUCUUUCGCCCCGUCUAGAUUCCUCUCUUACAGCUCGAGUAGCCUUCUCAGUCGAACCAUUCAUGUUGCGAGCUGCUGGCGGCUGCAACACAUGCCAUCUACUCCUCUUGGCAUUGGUGAUAUGGAACUUGAAGAGGCCACCUCCUGGAGUCAAGCAGAAACCCCGGUGGAGUGAUAGGGAAACAUAUCCAUCAACAAAACUUUUGACCCCAAAUUUAUCCUGUCUAUAAGAAAUGCAGAGGUGGGGGAUGGAGCAGAGACUGAAGCAAUAAGCAGCCCAACUUGAGACCUAUUCCAUGGGAAAGCACCAAUCCCUAAACACUAUUAAUGGUACUCUGUUAUGCUUACAGACAGGAGUCUAGCAUGGCUAUCAUCUGAAAGGUUUCAACUAGCAUCUGACUCAGACAGAUGUAGACUCCCAUAGCCAAACAGUGGAUGGAGCUUGGGGACUCUUAUGGAAAAACAGGAAGUAGUAUUGCUGUCUCUAAAGGAAUAAGAAUUCCACGGAAAGACCAACAGAGUCAACUAACCUGGACCCUUUGGAUUCUCAGAGACUGAACCACCAACCAAAGAACAUACACUGGCUGGAUAUAGUCCUCCCUGC